rnacentral:misc_RNA from 1 species
AACCUUAUGGACCUGCGGGCGUAUACCUGCGGAGGGAUCAUUAUCGAGUUCUGCUCCCCGGAGCGUCCUCCCAACCCUUUGUUUACUUGACCACUUGUUGCUUCGGCGGACCGGUCUUUAGCUGACCGCCGGCACUUUGCAAAGAGGUGCUGGACAGUUGUCCGUCGAUGGCUCAAAUCAAAAACAUAUUCUUGUACCGAAACGUGUCGUCUAAAAAAAUUCUUGAUGUACAAUCAAAAA